GGGUUGCUAACUCAAUGGUAGAGUACUCGGCUUUUAACUUUCAUCCGAUGAGUUCCGGGUUCGAGCCCCGGGCAACCCA
rnacentral:tRNA from 1 species